AGCCUCUCAUGGUUGCAUCUGGAGAGUUUCCAGUCCUCUACCAGUCUCGACUAUGAGAGGGAGAGUCAAGCAGAGACCUACUCAUUCCAUUCCUAGCUUGGGCGGUGGCUAGCGAGUGGAAGGCAAUCCGCUACAGGU